GAUGAACGCUAGCGGCAGGCCUAAUACAUGCAAGUCGAACGGGAUCCAGAUCAAAGCUUGCUUUGGUCUGGUGAGAGUGGCGCACGGGUGCGUAACGCGUGAGCAACCUACCCUUGUCAGGGGGAUAGCCCGGCGAAAGUCGGAUUAAUACCGCAUGACAUCAUUGAGAGGCAUCUUUCGAUGAUCAAAGAUUUAUCGGACAAGGAUGGGCUCGCGUGACAUUAGCUAGUUGGUAAGGUAACGGCUUACCAAGGCUGCGAUGUCUAGGGGCUCUGAGAGGAGAAUCCCCCACACUGGUACUGAGACACGGACCAGACUCCUACGGGAGGCAGCAGUAAGGAAUAUUGGUCAAUGGACGGAAGUCUGAACCAGCCAUGCCGCGUGCAGGAAGACGGCCCUAUAGGUUGUAAACUGCUUUUAUACGGGAACAAACGUCGGUACGUGUACCGGUCUGAGUGUACCGUAAGAAUAAGGAUCGGCUAACUCCGUG
rnacentral:rRNA from 1 species